CGGGCGUCUUAACAUGCAAGUCGAACGAUUAAAGCACCUUCGGGUGUGUAUAAAGUGGCGAACGGCUGAGUAACACGUGGGCAACCUGCCCCUUUCAUUGGGAUAGCCACGGGAAACCGUGGAUAAUACCGAAUACUUCGAGACUUCCGCAUGGAAGACUCGAGAAAGCUCCGGCGGAGAGGGAUGGGCCCGCGGCCUGUUAGCUUGUUGGUGGGGUAACGGCCUACCAAGGCAAUGAUGGGUAGCUGGGUUGAGAGACCGACCAGCCAGAUUGGGACUGAGACACGGCCCAGACUCCUACGGGAGGCAGCAGUGGGGAAUCUUGCACAAUGGGCGAAAGCCUGAUGCAGCGACGCCGCGUGCGGGAUGAAGGCCUUCGGGUUGUAAACCGCUUUCAGCAGGGACGAGGCGAAAGUGACGGUACCUGCAGAAGAAGCCCCGGCUAAUAC
rnacentral:rRNA from 2 species